rnacentral:lncRNA from 1 species
GCUUCUCAGGAACUGGUGUAGUAGUCUUGAAUCUCUGCAAAAGACAAUUCAUAUUAAUUAGUGUAUAUGAAUUCAACAUUUGGGAAAAAAAUCAAAAUUUGUUAAAGUUAAAUAUUACCGUUUCCCAGCGACUUGUGAUGUGAGAACGAACAAUAUGGGUCAUCCAAUACAUUACAUAGUAUCCGCACUCAUAUGACCCACUUUGUCUGUUACACUACAAUAUAUCAUCACAGUUGAUAAUANUUAGUGAAUAACAUUAAAAUAAAACANGUAUAACAAAGUAUGGCUUUAGCAUAUGUCAAACCUUGAGAGAAAUCCAAGCAAUCUUUCUACUGUUAGCAAUUGAUCUCCCACCCAUCAUCAUAGUUGCUGGAAUAGAACUGUUUAUAAAAAAAGGUUUUAGCAUUCAUUUAUAUAACAAAGAAAGUCCAAACAUUGAUGUUCUUACCAAUCAAUUGCUUGUUUGAGUUGUGGGGGAGGAGGCCUGUGCAAUGAACAAAACCACAAAGCAGUGUUGUCUUGCAUAGACAUAACAAGAAGUUGCCAAUGGCGCCU